UUGAACGCUGGCGGCAGGCCUAACACAUGCAAGUCGAACGGUAACAGGAAACAGCUUGCUGUUUCGCUGACGAGUGGCGGACGGGUGAGUAAUGUCUGGGAAACUGCCUGAUGGAGGGGGAUAACUACUGGAAACGGUAGCUAAUACCGCAUAACGUCGCAAGACCAAAGAGGGGGACCUUCGGGCCUCUUGCCAUCGGAUGUGCCCAGAUGGGAUUAGCUAGUAGGUGGGGUAACGGCUCACCUAGGCGACGAUCCCUAGCUGGUCUGAGAGGAUGACCAGCCACACUGGAACUGAGACACGGUCCAGACUCCUACGGGAGGCAGCAGUGGGGAAUAUUGCACAAUGGGCGCAAGCCUGAUGCAGCCAUGCCGCGUGUAUGAAGAAGGCCUUCGGGUUGUAAAGUACUUUCAGCGGGGAUGAAGGGAGUAAAGUUAAUACCUUUGCUCAUUGACGUUACCCGCAGAAGAAGCACCGGCUAACCCCGUG
rnacentral:rRNA from 1 species